UGAGCGCGUUAGCGCGAAGUCGUUGAUACCACGCUUCCAAGAAAAGUCUCGUGGGGAGUCUACAGGGUGUCCGUACCGCAAACCGACACAGGUGGGUGAGGAGAAAAUCCUAAGGCGAUUGAGAGAACUCUCUCCAAGGAACUCGGCAAAUUACCACCGUAACUUCGGAAGAAGGUGGGCCCUCCGUAGGUGUAGUCGUACAGACGAAGCCGAUGAGGGUUGCAGAGAAAUGGCGGUAGCGACUGUUUACCAAAAACACAGGACUCUGCGAAGACGACAAGUCGACGUAUAGGGUCUGACUCCUGCCCGGUGCUGGAAGGUUAAGGGGAUUCGUCAGCCGCAAGGCGAAGCGAUGAUCCGAAGCCCCAGUAAACGGCGGCCGUAAGUAUAACGGUCCUAAGGUAGCGAAAUUCCUUGUCGGGUAAGUUCCGACCUGCACGAAUGGAGUAACGACUUCCGCGCUUCUCGGAGAGGGACUCAGCGAAAUUGAAAUAGCUGUGCCGAUGCAGUUUACCCGCAGCAAGACGGAAAGACCCCGUGAACCUUUGCUACAACUUGACAGUGACACUAGGGAUUGACUGUGUAGGAUAGGUGGGAGCCUUUGAAACCGGGCCGCUAGGUUCGGUGGAGGCAACGGUGAAAUACCACCCUGUUGAUUUCUGGUGUCUAACCGUGUCCCAUAAUCUGGGAUCGGGACACUGUCUGGUGGGUAGUUUGACUGGGGCGGUCGCCUCCCAAAGCGUAACGGAGGCGCGCGAUGGUUCCCUCAGCCCGAUUGGAAACCGGGCGGCGAGUGCAAUGGCAUAAGGGAGCUUAACUGCGAGACAGACAUGUCGAGCAGGUGCGAAAGCAGGUCAUAGUGAUCCGGUGGUUCUGAAUGGAAGGGCCAUCGCUCAACGGAUAAAAGGUACUCCGGGGAUAACAGGCUUAUCUCCUCCAAGAGUUCACAUCGACGAGGAGGUUUGGCACCUCGAUGUCGGCUCAUCGCAUCCUGGGGCUGGAGCAGGUCCCAAGGGUUUGGCUGUUCGCCAAUUAAAGCGGUACGCGAGCUGGGUUCAAAACGUCGUGAGACAGUUUGGUCCCUAUCUGCUGUGGGCGUAGGAUACUUGAGAGGAUCUGUCCUUAGUACGAGAGGACCGGGAUGGAGACACCUCUGGUGUACCUGUUGUCACGCCAGUGGCAUCGCUGGGUAGCCAUGUGUCGAUUGGAUAACCGCUGAAAGCAUCUAAGCGGGAAACCGACCUCAAGAAUAGGUAUCCCGGGGGAAACCCCCUGAAGACCCGUCGAAGACUACGACGUUGAUAGGCCGGGUGUGUAAGCGUGGCAACACGUUGAGCUAACCGGUACUAAUUGGUCGUGCGGCUUACUUU
rnacentral:rRNA from 1 species